AGCGAACGCUGGUGGCAGGCCUAACACAUGCAAGUCGAACGAAGCCUUCGGGCUUAGUGGCGGACGGGUGAGUAACACGUGGGAACGUACCCUUUGGUUCGGAACAACUCAGGGAAACUUGAGCUAAUACCGGAUGAGCCCUUAGGGGGAAAGAUUUAUCGCCGAAAGAGCGGCCCGCGUUAGAUUAGCUAGUUGGUGAGGUAAAGGCUCACCAAGGCAACGAUCUAUAGCUGGUCUGAGAGGAUGAUCAGCCACACUGGGUCUGAGACACGGCCCAGACUCCUACGGGAGGCAGCAGUGGGGAAUCUUGCGCAAUGGGCGAAAGCCUGACGCAGCCAUGCCGCGUGAAUGAUGAAGGUCUUAGGAUUGUAAAAUUCUUUUACCAGGGACGAUAAUGACGGUACCUGGAGAAAAAGCCCCGGCUAACUUCGUGCCAGCAGCCGCAGUAAAAC
rnacentral:rRNA from 1 species